UAUAGCUUAGUGGUAGAGCAUUUGCCUAGCAUGCAUGAGGCCCUGGGUUCAGUCCCCCGUA
rnacentral:tRNA from 1 species